rnacentral:rRNA from 1 species
CCUACGGGAGGCAGCAGUGGGGAAUAUUGCACAAUGGGCGCAGGCCUGAUGCAGCCAUGCCGCGUGUAUGAAGAAGGCCUUCGGGUUGUAAAGUACUUUCAGCGGGGAGGAAGGCGAUAAGGUUAAUAACCUUGUCGAUUGACGUUACCCGCAGAGGAAGCACCGGCUAACUCCGUGCCAGCAGCCGCGGUAAUACGGAGGGUGCAAGCGUUAAUCGGAAUUACUGGGCGUAAAGCGCACGCAGGCGGUCUGUCAAGUCGGAUGUGAAAUCCCCGGGCUCAACCUGGGAACUGCAUUCGAAACUGGCAGGCUAGAGUCUUGUAGAGGGGGGUAGAAUUCCAGGUGUAGCGGUGAAAUGCGUAGAGAUCUGGAGGAAUACCGGUGGCGAAGGCGGCCCCCUGGACAAAGACUGACGCUCAGGUGCGAAAGCGUGGGGAGCUAACGGGAUUAGAUACCCCAGUAGUC